rnacentral:tRNA from 1 species
AAGGAAGUGGCAGAGUGGUUAUGUGACUGGCUUGAAACCAGUGCACGGGGGUUCAAUUCCUCCCUUCCUCG